GAAAGAGCACACGAUGCCGCCGCCCGUCUUCCCGCCGCCGUUUCAGUCAAACGUUGAGACGGCGCACGCGCAAAGGAGGGAAGGGCGCCCCGGCUCGGCUGCUCAUGGAGCCCUACUGCGCUUGCGUCAAGAGGCUGGCCUUUUUCGUUUCUUUCUUUCUGGUCUCUGAAAAGUUUUUCUUGGGGCGGUUUAGGGGAAUGAUUUAAAGGAGCGCUUUUGGAACAACUGAAAAAUAACCAUAGAGCUUGGAUAAUAGCGGGAUCGAGACCCCCAUAAGAAGCAUUCCCAAGAUCAAUAAAAAUGAGCUAAUCCGUUUGUUAAAUCCAAAGGAUUUAAACACAAAAUUAAAACUUGGAAGUAGCGAAACAAUAUGAGCCAUACGAUGCACAUGCAAAAAUAAUGAAACUUCCUUUAAAGAGGAUCGAUCCUUUGUCACUGGUGAAAAUGUAAGAAGAGCCCUGCUGGAUCGAACCAAGGAUCCAUCGAUCUACCCCAGUGUCCUGUUUCCAGCAGUGGACAGCCAAACGCCUCCAAAGAAGACGACCAGAAGGGCCUGAAGACCACCCCCUGGCUUGUUUUUCAGCAUCCGGUUUUCAGAGGGGACGAAUACUCCGACACCAGCAUUUAAACAGCUGCCAUCGUAUAAAUUAUCAAACAACGUAAACACUUAACGCAGAUUUCUUUCAUUUCUCACCUGCACUUACAUCACUGCCAUAUUUAUUUUGCAUGUCUGAUUGUAUCUAUUGAGGUGAACGGUUGACUCCUAACCCUCUCCUCCACUGCCAAACUCUUUUUCCAAUCCCCAUUAAAAAUGUAAGGUUUUAAAAUUUG